CGAAUCAAGGGAAGCGUGCCGGUGCAGGCAAGAGACCACCGUAAGCGUCGUUGCAACCAAUUAAGCGCCGAUUCCAAUCAGCGCGACUACGCCCUCGCUGCCUAAGCGACGGCUGGUCUGUCAGACCGGGAGCGCCCUCGGCCCGGACCCUGGCAUCAGCUAGAGGGACCCACCCAUGGGUUCGGUCGCGGAAUCCAUGGGGACAUCAAACAGCGACUGGGAUCGUCAUCUCGGCUUGUUCGCGUGACUGAGAGAUCCGAGUAGAGACACAGCGAACUGCGCACGGAGAAGCCUCGACGACAUGCC
rnacentral:misc_RNA from 1 species